AAAGCUUAAGCCAUGCAUGUCUAAGUAUAAGCAAUUAUACAGCGAAACUGCGAAUGGCUCAUUAUAUAAGUUAUCGUUUAUUUGAUAGUACCUUACUACUUGGAUAACCGUGGUAAUUCUAGAGCUAAUACAUGCUAAAAAUCCCGACUUCGGAAGGGAUGUAUUUAUUAGAUUAAAAACCAAUGCCCUCUGGGCUCUCUGGUGAUUCAUGAUAACUUCUCGAAUCGCAUGGCCUUGCGCCGGCGAUGGUUCAUUCAAAUUUCUUCCCUAUCAACUUUCGAUGUUUGGGUAGUGGCCAAACAUGGUUGCAACGGGUAACGGAGGGUUAGGGCUCGACCCCGGAGAAGGAGGCUGAGAAACGGUACUACAUCCAAGGAAGGCAGCAGGCGCGCAAAUUACCCAAUCCCGACACGGGGAGGUAGUGACAAUAAAUACUGAUACAGGGCUCUUUUGGGUCUUGUAAUUGGAAUGAGUACAAUUUAAAUCCCUUAACGAGGAACAAUUGGAGGGCAAGUCUGGUGCCAGCAGCCGCGGUAAUUCCAGCUCCAAUAGCGUAUAUUAAAGUUGUUGUGGUUAAAAAGCUCGUAGUUGAACCUUGGGCCUGGCUGGCCGGUCCGCCUCACCGCGUGUACUGGUCCGGCCGGGCCUUUCCCUCUGUGGAACCCCAUGCCCUUCACUGGGUGUGGCGGGGAAACAGGACUUUUACUUUGAAAAAAUUAGAGUGCUCCAGGCAGGCCUAUGCUCGAAUACAUUAGCAUGGAAUAAUGAAAUAGGACGUGCGGUUCUAUUUUGUUGGUUUCUAGGACCGCCGUAAUGAUUAAUAGGGACAGCGGGGGCAUCAGUAUUCAAUUGUCAGAGGUGAAAUUCUUGGAUUUAUUGAAGACUAACUACUGCGAAAGCAUUUGGCAAGGAUGUUUUCAUUAAUCAGGAACGAAAGUUAGGGGAUCGAAGACGAUCAGAUACCGGCGUAGGCUUAACCAUAAACUAUGCCGAUAGGGAUCGGACGAUGUUAUUUUUGGCUCGCCGCACCUAACGAAAAUCAAAGUGCUUGGGCUCC
rnacentral:rRNA from 1 species